CAGGCCCAGCCCUGCGCGCCUACAGUCCCCGCCCCGCCGUCCAAGCCCCGCCCCGACUGGCACCGGAGGCUCGACGGCCACCGCCUCGUCCUGCGUUUCCUGAGGGCCUCCGGCGCGCCGGCUGUCGGGCGCAUCCCUCCAGGUAGAGAAGGGACUAGGCUGAGCGCAGCCCAAGACGCCCAAGCAGCAGCUGGAGGGUUCUCCAGAACGAGGCCCGGGACGUGGGCUCGGCCGAGGGACCUGGGGGCCGGCCCGCUCCUCCGAGGCCGAGCCCAGGGGGCGCCCCUUUCCCCAGCGGCCUCCCCAGCUCCUGCACGGACCACCCCUCCUGGGUCCCCAGCCUUAGCUUAGGGGGCAGCUGCCUCCUGCAGGUGUUUUCUUGCCUCCCUGUCCCUUCUGCCUGUUCAGCCCUCCGUGCCCUCAAACCCUUUGCACACCUGGGGAGCUCCUGCCCUCCUGACGCAGUAACUGCUGUCCCGAGGAGCCUCCCGGCCUGGGAUCCCCUGCCUGAGGCAUCGCCAGCACUUGUUUUGUGUUUUUUUGAGACAGGGUCUAGCUCUGUUGCCCAGGCUGGAGUUCUGGGGUUGAUCUCAGCUCACUGCAACCUCUGCCUCCCGAGCUCAAACCAUCCUCCCACCUCGGCCACCCAAGUAGCUGGGACUACGGGCGUGCACCACCACACCCGGCUAAUUUUUUGUUGUUGUUGUAUUUUUGUAGAGAUGAGGUCUCAUGUGCUGCCCAGGCUGGUCUCGAACUCCUGGACUCAAGCGAUCCGCCCGCGUCGGCCUCCCAAAGCACUUGUUACUUCAGCUCACCCAAUUCCAUAGAACCCUAGCGGGUGCAGAGGAUGCCAAUCUCUGAGCAGAUGAGGGCAGAGAGCAGGAGACCACACUUGGCCCGAGGCAGGACUGCGGAGCUGUGCAAGAGGUGGAGGCUACGCCCGUGACAGCAGAUGGGUCCUGGUAGUCACACAGAAAACCGGCGAGCUGGAUUUGUCCUGGUGAUGAGGCUCUGGAGCAGCAGUUGCAAGGAGUCAUUCCUGUCCUCCUUAACCACAUCCCCAGAGGCCACUCACCUUCUUCCCAGGUGAAUCAUUCAUACAACCCUGGAAAGGAGACAUCCACCUGGCCCUUCCUACCUGGCUGGCCCUUGCUCUGCAGAUGAGUGUGGGAGUUUGCCCAUUGUCAAGGGUAACUGUUGCAAUUACACAUUCAGGAACUGGAAAGACGACCACAGAUGAGGUCUGUGGACCCCCUUACCACCUGACCUCCACACGCCCUCCCUUUGACUAGCAGGCCAGUGGCAUCUUGGACCCCUGGGAUUAGGAAUGAUUCAAAACCCAUAAAGAUUACCACCCAUACCAUCCCCUAAAAUAACUGAUUUUUCUGACCAGGCACGGUGGCUCACGCCCAUAAUACCAGCACUUUGGGAGGCUGAGGCAGGUGGAUCACCUGAGGUCAGGAGUUCGAUACCAACUGUGGGCGGCAAGCCACCCAGGUGCCGAGGCAAGAGACCGAAGACACGAGCUGUUCCAGUAUAAUAAAAUAAGAAUAGUUAUACCAGAUAUAGAUCUUAGAUAUGAUUAUAUAUGAAUAUCAUUAAUCAUUAGUUGGUAGCAAUUACUCUUUAUUCCAAUAUUAUAAUAAUCCUCGCUCUACAAUCAUAACCUAGGAAAAACCAGGCCAUACAGAGAUAGGAGCUGAGGGGACAUAGUGAGGAGUGACCAGAAGAGUGCGAGCCUUCUGUUAUGCCCAGACAGGGCCACCAGAGGGCUCCUUGGUCUAGCGGUGACGCCAGCGUCUGGGAAGACACCCGUUACCUAGCGGACCGUGGUCUAGCGGUAGCGAAAAGUGUCAAGAAACACCACCCGCUACUUAGCAGACCGGAAAAGGGAGUCUCCCUUUCCCCGGGGGAGUUUAGAGACGACUGUACUCCUCCACCUCUUGUGGAGGACCUGACAUCAGUCAGGCUCGCCCGCAGUUAUCCGGAGGCCUAACCGUCUCCCCGUGAUGCUGUGCUUCAGUGGUCACGCUCCUAGUCCGCCUUCAUGUUCCAUCCUGUACACCUGGCUCUGCCUUCUAGAUAGCAGUAGCAAAAUUAGUGAAAGUACUAAAAGUCUCUAAUAAGCAGAAAUAAUGGCGUAAGCUGUCUCUCUGUCUCCUCUCUCUCUCUGCCUCGGCUGCCAGGCAGGGAAGGGCCCCUGUCCAGUGGACACGUGACCCACAUGACCUUACCUAUCAUUGGAGAUGGCUCACUCUCCUUAUCCUGACCCUUUGUCUUGUAUCCAAUAAAUAUCAGUGCAGCCUGGCAUUCGGGGCCACUACCGGUCUCCGCAACUUAAUGGUAGUGGUCCCCCAGGCCCAGCUGCCUUUUCUUUUAUCUCUGUCUUGUGUCUUUAUUUCUGUACUCUCUCGUCUCCGCACAUGGGGAGAGACCCACCGACCCUGUGGGGCUGGUCCCUACACCAACCUGGCCAACAUGGUGAAACCCUGUCUCUACCAACAAUACAAAAAUUAGCUGGGCAUGGUGGUCGGUGCCUAUAAUCCCAGCUACUUGGGAGACUGAGGCAAGAGAAUGGCUUGAACCUGGGAGGCAGAGGUUGCAGUAAGCUGAGAUCACGCCACUGCACUCCAGCCUGGCGACAGAGUGAGAUUCUGUCUCAAAAA
rnacentral:lncRNA from 10 species